ensembl:lncRNA
GUAAUUAUUAUUAUUAUUAUUAUUAUUAUUAUUAUUAUUAUUAUUAUUAUUAUUGUUGUUGUUGUUAUUGUUGUUGUUCUUGUCAUUGUUAAAUUAGCAUGGAUUCGUGUUUUGAAUGUUUGGACUUGAACAAAAAUCAUUUUAAAUAUACAUGUAUUUACCUAUUGUCACACACCUGGACUCAUUUAGUGUUUUUGCCCCAGUGACCCAGUUUCUGUCUUCCGUGUUUAGGUUGAUUAGUUCCCAGGUGUGUCAAUUCUAUUCCUCAUGUGUUCCAUGUCCCUGUUAAUUUAGUUAUUCCAUCCACCUGUGUUUCCCCAUUAUCCUUUGUACUUAAGCCUUGUCCUUUCAGUUCUGUUUUGUUCGGGUCUUCACUUGCUACUUACGUGUGUCUACCUCUGUGCUCCAUGUUGGAUAUCCCCUAUGUUGGAUUUAUUAAAAGCCUUAUUCCGUUUAUCCUCGACUCCGUAUUCCUUCAGGCAGCGUAAAACCGUGACAGAAGACCCGACCUAAAGAAGAAAAUAGAAAACUGCGUGUUUUUUUUUCCCUCCGUUUUGUUUUUGUGUUUUCAAAGUCUUUUUGUUUCGUAGUGUUCUAUGGAUCCCCUCUAUCGUCCCGAAUUCCUCAUCCUCCUGCUGAAGCAGGAAGGACGUUCUCUCGAGGACCAUACCAGACAGUUUCUCCUAUUAGCUAAUGCCACCAGCUACCCGGACGGCGCGCUCUGCACCUUCUACAACACCAGCCUGAACUCCAAAUGCAGAGCGUUGUCGUCCGAAGAUAGUCCUCGAGAGGAUUUCGCCGCAUUCGUGGAGUGGACUCUGGCGAGAAAUGGCUCCUCUUUUACCAUCUGCCCCAUAGAGGACCUCGCCAGCCCCACUCCCGACCCAGAGACCAGCCAGCCACCAUCUCGCUACACGGAGCCAGAGCCCACCGCAGCCGCAGAGCCCGAGCCAUUCACCGACAGGGAGCCGGAUCUCGAGAGCGCGACUGACCAGGUGUGUGAGCCGGCCACACCGUGCAUCGUGGGAGUCCUCGUGGAGAUCGAGGGCGUGGAGGAAAGCCCUGCCCACACUCCUGCGACUGAGGGUGAGCUGUAUGCAGUCUCUGAAGAUCAUAUGGAGCAAGUUCUGGAUCUGAUGGACUGGUCUAUGGAGGUAAUCCCUAAUAUUCCUGUUUCUCCGCUGGUUCCGUCCAGCCCUGAUUCCCCUGUAUACCCUCUCAGUCUCCCACUCCUACCUCCUCCAGUCAUUUCCUCUGCUCCAUUUCCGCUGGUUCCGCCCAGCCCUGAGUUUUCUGUUUCUCCGCUGGUUCCGCCCAGCCCUGAGUUUUCUGUUUCUCCGCUGGUUCCGCCCAGCCCUGAGUUUCCUGUGUCUCCGCUGGUUCCGCCCAGCCCUGAGUUUCCUGUUUCUCCGCUGGUUCCGCCCAGCCCUGAGUUUCCUGUUUCUCCGCUGGUUCCGCCCAGCCCUGAGUUUCCUGUGUCUCCGCUGGUUCCGCCCAGCCCUGAGUUUUCUGUUUCUCCGCUGGUUCCGCCCAGCCCUGAGUUUCCUGUGUCUCCGCUGGUUCCGCCCAGCCCUGAGUUUCCUGUGUCUCCGCUGGUUCCGCCCAGCCCUGAGUUUCCUGUGUUUCCGCUGGUUCCGCCCAGCCCUGAGUUUCCUGUUUCUCCGCUGGUUCCGUCCAGCCCUGAGUUUCCUGUGUCUCCGCUGGUUCCGCCCAGCUCUGAAUCUUCUGUGUCUCCGCUGGUUCCGCCCAGCUCUAAAUCUUCUGUGUCUCCGCUGGUUCCGCCCAGCUCUGAAUUUUCUGUGUCUCCACUGGUUCCGCCCAGCCAUGAUUUUUCUGUUUCACCACUGCUUCCACCCAGCCCUGAAUCUUCUGUGUCUCCUGUAUUCCCUCCCAGCCUCCCUCUCCCGCCUCCUCCCAAACCUGCUGGUCCCUCUACUCCUUCGCUGGUUCCAUCCAGUCCUGAUCCUCCUGUCCUUCCUCCCAUCCUUCUCCUCUCUCCUCCUCCUAGACCAGCCAGUUCCUCGCCAUCCCUGCUGGUGCCAGUCAGUCCCGCAGCUCACCCUCAGUCCGCGCCAUCGGGGCGCGGUGGUUCGCCGCUGGACUGCCAGUCUCCAGCUCCGCCUUGGCGUGUUAAGGCCCUGUCUCCGCCUCCAGCCUCCGAGCCCUGGACUCCUCCUCGGUCCUUCGACCCAGCGGCUCCGCCUUGGCUCUUAGCUCCCUCGUCUCCACCGUGGCCUGUCAUCCCACCUGCUCCACCGGGCUCCCUCGUCCCUCCGGCUCCACCUUGGUCAGUCGUCGACCAUCCGCCGCCUCGGGACUCCACUCCUCUGGUUCCACCUCGUCACUCCAUCCCUCCGGCUCUGUCAGGCUCCUCCUUCCCUCCGGUUCCACCUCCAUCCUCGGUCACUCCGGCUCCACAGCGGUCUGCCAGGACCCCGCCUCCACCUUGGUCGCCUGAGCCUUCAGCUCCACCUAGGCCCUCCGGAUCCUCGUCGUCACCCUGGCUCUGCGGCUGUGCUGCUCCAUCUUGGGCUCCUCACCCACCGGUGCAGUCUCCGCCUGUCGGCCCCCUGGUGUCGUCGACCCUUCCUUCACCAUGGCUCCUCCCGCCGUCGACUCCACCUUGGAUCUCAGUCCUGGCUGGUCUCUGGUGGACCAUCUGGCUCCUCCUGCUCCUGUCUCCUCCCUGGCUCCUUCCUCCGUCUCCUCCCUGGCUCCUCCUUCUGUGGUCCCUGUCUGCUGGCCCCCUCCUGGGAGUCCGUCCUCCACCGGAACCUCCUCCCAAGUUCCCACCCACGCCUCCCCCUGUUGUUUCUACGGUGCGAGGACGCACCUACCGGGAGGGGGGAGUACUGUCACACACCUGGACUCAUUUAGUGUUUUUGCCCCAGUGACCCAGUUUCUGUCUUCCGUGUUUAGGUUGAUUAGUUCCCAGGUGUGUCAAUUCUAUUCCUCAUGUGUUCCAUGUCCCUGUUAAUUUAGUUAUUCCAUCCACCUGUGUUUCCCCAUUAUCCUUUGUACUUAAGCCUUGUCCUUUCAGUUCUGUUUUGUUCGGGUCUUCACUUGCUACUUACGUGUGUCUACCUCUGUGCUCCAUGUUGGAUAUCCCCUAUGUUGGAUUUAUUAAAAGCCUUAUUCCGUUUAUCCUCGACUCCGUAUUCCUUCAGGCAGCGUAAAACCGUGACACCUAUGCACAGCUUUAGGCCCUAUUUAUACUUGACACUUUCU